GCCAAUUACCCAGUCUACUAUAGAGAGGUCAACUUGUUUGCCAAGGGCUAACUUGUUAAUAAGUGGUAGAAUCUAAAUGAGGUCUGUCCAGCCAGGGUGUGUCGGUAUUUAAUGGCUCUUCUACUGCUUCUGGAUAAAAUAGUCAGGGACUUGUUCGGCAUGUGGGUUGCUCAGGGUGUACAGGCCAUUUAUAAGGGUGUUCCUUUCCUUUUGCUUUCUCUUGCCUCCUUGUAUGUAGGAAGUAUACUUUCAAGAAGAUAGUGUUAAUCAGAUACAGAACUUCCAAGAACCAGAUGGCCUUCAUUUCUUUCUUCCUGAUUAGCUAUAUAAAACCAAUUGUCCAACUGAGAAAGGCUUAAUUUUACAGGCUUACCGGGGAGGCAAGCUUAUUGUUUACAGCUUUCAACCUCCCUCUUGCCUUCCUUGCCAGAGGCUCGGCUCCAGCAAGGGAACCUGAAUCUAACACUGAAGAAUUUUGGAAGAAGUUGGAUUUUUACAAGGAGUCCUCACACAGUGGAUAGAUACGAAAACGGUCUCUUUACUUCUUGACAGAUUGCAGUACGUAUUUUAGGACCUGCCACCCAUUUUGAUUUGAAAGAUUAUGUUGUCGGAAUUUCAGACACUGCAGGUAAAGAUCUAAUUUUACUAAUUAACAAGGAUUUACAAAUCUUGUAAAUUACUUUCCUCUUGCAAUGGAAAGUGCUUUUCUCUGAUUUAUUAUACAAAUAAUUGCAAAUCCUUAUAACUGAACAAGGUAAAACUUUUCGUGUCUUUUGGAAUCUGUUUUCUGGUUUUGUGCCUUCAGUAAUAGUCUUACCUUAGUAGACAAGAUGUAUAAAUUGUGUAAAUUACUAAGCAAAGGUGAAGGGAAAUAUAUUUUGGUUAUUUCCAGUUAGUAACUGCCUCUUAAUGAAUCACAUUAAGUGCCAUAGUCACUUCUUUUUUUCCCAAAUUGUCUUUAAGAAGGUACAUUUGCACCCUAAGUACAAAAAAGGGACAGUAUUAUUUUUCUGCUUUUAAUAAAAGUAAUAAUGUCAUAUUUUUCCUGUUCUAGAAUUUCAGGCAUCACCCCCUGGAGCUGAUGGAGAGACUGGUAUUCCACUGUGUAUCUUAAUAUCAGGGAAAUAUCUCACAGGCACAUCAAGCUGAUAUCACAGGGUUUCCUUGAUUGUAAACAAUAGAAUGGAUUAUGACUGACAUGAGCCAACACUUGGAUUUGGAAGGGUAUGAUAGAUUUUUUUGCUCAGGGUCUAAGAAUCGUAAGAUACCAAACCUUGGAAGGGGCAGGAAUCAGGACAGUGGGAGCUAAUGGCAAGUUGGUGGUGGAAUACAUUGGCCCUACCAUGUUUUGUUUUUAGACAUGGCAUUCCCAAGACUCAGAUCCCUCCUUGGGCGAGGUUCUGAUCUGCAUGACUAGGGAGGACAGAACAACUGCAUGGUUAAGGCAGAGGAAAGUUGGGGGACUAGAACACAGAGAAAUCGGGGGGAAGGACCUUGAGGUUAAUUACAACUAGGCCUUGCUUUCUUUAAGGUUAUCCAGUGCAGGGCUUUGAUCAUAGAGUGGAUUUUCAAACAUUGGAGCAGGAAGAGGCUCCCGACUCUCACCAAAGCCCUGGGGAAUGAAUGACUUGUUCAGGAGGUAGGUAUAGCUUGGGGUUACACCUGGUUUUCUUUAGCUUUGCAACAGACUAGAGAAUUUGGUUCUUAAGUGAUAUUAUCUAAAAUUGGGAAAGAAAAUCUCUUUCAGUUAGCAGAGAUAAAAUAUUGACAAUGCUGUGGAGGGGAUGUCUAUAAAUAGGCCUUCUAUAAUUGAAAAGGAGCAAUUAAAGAAGACACAAAACCUUCAGUUGCUGUUUGUAGAAGUCACAUACAGGGCUACCUGUGAAAGGCUUCACCUGUUUGAGGAUUAUAACUAUCACUUGAAGAAACAAAACAUCUGAGGAGACAGGAGCAGGCAGCAUGAGUCUAUUUCUAAAUUUUACUGCCAAGCACCAAAUACAGCCGCUGGUGUUUAUUCGGAAAUGCUGUUGUUUGAAGGCAUAUCCAAAGUUCUGUUAGCCUCACUGCCUCCUUGCAUUCAGGUGCUCAGUUUACCUGAAACCCCUAAAGAGCAGCCACUGAACUCAGGAGCAGAUCAAAACCCUCUCUAAUUCCUUUACACUUGGGACCCACCCCUUGAUAAAGGUUUUGGGUUUGCUGAGAGUGCAGUAUGUCAUGGUGGUCCCCUGUCCCAGUAUGGGUUGGGGAUUAAGAUAAUCCUGUGAAUUUAAAUCCCGACUCUACCACUUAAUAGCUGCGAACCGGAGCAAGCUUUUAACUUCCCUGGGCCUCUCUAGAUAUGCUGAAUGAAAAUCUACCCCCUCCUCCUUCCUUCUGAGUCCUUGUAUUAUUAGGCAUGGCAAUGAACCCAACUAAAAAACUACAUUUCCCAACUUCCCAUGCCAGUAGGGAUGGUCAGUGAGUUCCAACUAGAAGUUGUUUUGGGCUUCCAGGAACACUGGAAGGUGAGAAGAAGUAUGCUCUUUUUGAUUUUUCACAUUUUGCAUUUUAGAUACGAAAUGUAGAUGUGGUGGUUUGAGCCACAGCAUCCAUUUUGGGACCAUGAGGGAAAGCCCAAGGGCAUCGCAAAGACAUGGCUAUCUUUGGGGUGCUGAGUUCUAUUAAUACCUGCAGACUUCUUGUUAUAUGAAAGAAAAUUAACCCUUAUAUGUUUAAGCCUCUGAUAGCAGCAGCAGAAUGCAGUUCCUGAUACUUAACCUCAGGUUCUGCAUCUGCAAAAUGAGCAUAAUAGUACUCACCUUCUAGGGUCAUUCUAAGGAUUCAGUGAUAGUGCAUACACAGUACUUACCACUGUGACUGGCAGCUACUACUUUUCUUUUUAAAUGACUGUUACCAUUAUCAAAUAUAGGGAUGUGUAUUUAUUUGCUAGGGUUGUCAUAACAAAGGACCACAAACUGGGAGGCUCAGAUAACGGACAUUUACUGUCUCACAGUUCUGGAGGCUGGAAGUCUGAGGUCAAGGUGUCAGCAGGGUUAAUUCCUUCUGAAGCUGGAAGGGAUGGAUCUGUCCAACUUUCUUUUCUUUGGCUCGUGGAUGGCUGUCUUCUGCCUGUGUCACUUUGUGUCAUCUUCCCUUUACGCAUAUCUCUGUGUUCAUAUUUUCUCUCUUUUCAAGGACAUCAGCCAUAUUCGAUUAGGGUCCAACCUAAUACCUCAUUUUAACUUGAUUACCUCUGUAAGGACCCUAUCUCUAAGUAAGGUCACAUUCGGAGAUACUAGAUGGGGUUUAGGACUUCAACAUACCUUUUUUAAGGGGGGAUAUGAUUCGACCCAUCACAGUACAUACGUAACAUUAUCAGUCAAACUUUAGUCUCUCACCCUUUUUCUGAUUACAGAAACUCUUUAUAAAAAAAAUCAAAUACUUCUUCAUGAAAAAUUGCUUCCCUUCCCACCAAAAUUGUCCUGUUGUAUAAAUGACUUUUAACUUUCAUCUCUUACAUUUUAAACCCAUCAACUAAACCCAGCUUCUGGAAUCUAAGGGCUUGUAAUGGGGCCAUUUACAUUUCCAGUUAGUUUUAGGGUGGUAAUGAUCGGCUCUUAGGACGCUCUUCGAUUUGAGUAUUCACUUGGGUGUGUUUCAAGCCCGUGACUUGGAAAUACAAGGGUUUUCUGUUUAUUAUUCCAUACUCUUUAGAGUAGUGUUGAUGUGGUCAUAGUCAUACACGUCAUGGGAUGUUUGCUGCUCUCGAUGAAUUUACUGGCCAUUGGUGCCCUGGAGUAUCUACUACAGAGUGCCCAAGACAGGCUGCCUGGGGAUAUUUAAUGUGUCUAAGAACACUCUUAAGCAUUUCAGCCUCCAACAUAAGCUCAGUAAGGUGGGACUUGCUUAAAUCAUAUUCCGUGUAUAAAAAUUUAAAAAUGUUGAAGAUUUUACUGUUGCAGAACUUACUCCAUUUAAACUUGAAACCCAGUGUUCCUACAGCUGCUUUCCUUUUCUAUGCAAAUAUUUCAAGCAUUGAGACCAUUACCUCCUGAGCAAAGCAGAGUCAUUUAUGCAUUAAAUAAAUAACUUUCCUGUCCCAACAGGGUUUGUUUGUUUUUUUUUUUUGGGGGGGCGGGAGAGAUCACUUUUAGGCGACAUUAUGUGUUUGUAGGGGCUUGUCUUCAAAUAAAAGGCAUAAUUGAAAUACAGCUGAAUAGGAAUCAAGAGUGUGAUUCAAGUGUAAGGUAAAAUUGAUGGCAUCUCUUAUUGCUUCGUAGAUGAAUUACUUUAUGGCAGCUUUUUCCUGAUAAAGCUUUUUUAAAAACUAAAAAUGCAUUAUUCUAGUCUCUAAUUGUCCAUCCUGACAGCAGCAAAAAAGAAAGGCUGUGUUUUGCUUUUUGUUUCUUUUCCCUCCCUUAGCAGUGAUAGUAGAAAUUGCUUAUUGCUGGAAAAUCUGUAUUUGCCUGCUGGUAUGCCAUUAAAAAAGGGAUUUGGUAGCCUGAAUUCCAUUUUUUCUUUAACGCAAAACAUAAGGGGUUGCAUUUUCCAUACUGGCAGAAUGUGGAAUGGGUAGGUGACUUGAAUGUUGUCUUUUCCACUUAGUAUUACCGUUCAAAACCCACGUACACCAAGGAAUUGGAAUAUUCGAAUGUGAGACAGAAAGAUGACAUUGCGGUUAGCACUGUCUGUAUCCACCAAAUCGUGAACCUUCUCAGAGUCAUAGUCCCAGCCAGGGAAGUAAGAGUGUCGCUCUUCACUAUUGCUGCACACAUCCUGCUGCUGGGUGCCAAAGUGGGGCAGGUGCUCAACUUCCCAGCAGUGUUAGGAGUAAAGGCUGGUGGGGGAGAAGGCUGGUUGGCAGAUUAUUAAAUGUAUUUUACAUUUGCCAUCCAGUUUCAUUUUCAUGGCCCACAUGGCCACCUAGGAUAUAUUCUUAGAAAAAGGAAUAGUAACUCAAAUCAAGAUCAAGCUUCUGAUCAAAUGCUGGGGAUACAGCCUGAUGUAAAAUGGGACACCUGGAUGCAAUCAGCAAAACCCACAAUGAGGGGAAUUCUACACUACAAAUGAUCCUGUUAUAUCCAAUUUAUGUAUGGAAUGGCUUAAAGAGGCAGAGAAAAGCCUUUGGAUUAAAAGAGACUUGAGAGACCUGUCACCCAAAUGCAGUGUGUGGACUUUGAAUUUGAACAAAUCAAUGUUAAAAGCAAAUUUUUUUUUUUGAAGUAGGGAAAUUUGAGUACUGGAUGUUACCUGAUUUAUGGAAUUAUUGUCACUUUUAAGUACAGGCAAAAUAGUAGUGUUGGAAUUAUACUUUUUAAAAGAGUCCGUAUCUUUUAGUGACAGAUGCUGCAUUAGUUAUAGGGAAAUUAUGAUGUCUGGAACUUGCUUUAGGAUAAUUCGGUUGGAGUAAGGUGUGAUUUGGGGUAAAAAAACAUAAAAUUUGCCUGAUACGAUAAUUGUUGAGGGUAAGGGAAUGGUUAUGUGGGGACUCUUCUAUCUCUGAAUGUUGGAAAUACAAUAGAAAGUUAAAACAUAAUGACUUACCUGUGUUCUAUUCUUUAUGAUGGCUGCUGGCUUUAUCAGGCCUACUUCUUUUUUAAGUAUUUGUGGGGUAAUGAAUAUUUAAAUAUGUAACCUUUUUACCUCAAAGUAAUCUAAGUAUAAAUAUGGUCACUAACUGCACAACCAGGUCUCACAGAACUGACAGGUUUUAUUUAAUGACCCAUUUUCCUUUAUUUGAACUCAGCCCCAUGGAAUAAAGGGAAUGUUUUAUUCAUCAGACUGUUCACUUUUUUAAAUUUUAGAAUGCUUUUGUAGGAAUUAGCAGGUGUUUAAUUAUCAAUGGGAGGAUUCUUUAUUUGCUGAAUGCAGUAGAAGGUCAUUAAAAUAAGUUUAAAAUAUGAAAGAAUCAAGUAGUGAGAGAACUUGGGGGGAAAUGAAUAAAUCUAUUCUCUUGUGUCCUAGGUUUGUUAAGGUCAAAUGAGGUGUGGUUUAAUGUUUUGCAGCUUCAUUGUAAACCAAGCCAAAGGAAAAUCUUUCUGCCCUUUGGUCAAACAUUCCUGAGUGAAGAGAGCACUGGCUGACAUGGAGGAGUGCCAACAUUUUUGGGUCAUACUUUAGAACUUAAGUUUAGAUAACUGAGAUAAGCCAGGAUUUAUGGACAGACAGAUAUAUCCCUAGUCUCAACAUUAAGCCAUUAUUUCCAUAUUGCAUCGUCUUUCAUGCUCUAAGUAUAUGUUGGAGUGCCGACUGUGGAUUUAGCUGUGUGCUAGGCACUGGGGAAUAAGACAAAUAAGAAUUAGAUAUAUGUGGCUCUUUUGUUUAACUUGAACAUAAAUGUUUUCCCUCUUUCCCUUUGCUUGUAAUUUUUCUCUUUUCUAGCAACAUUGCCCUGUCAACUUCUUAUCUAUUUUUUCAUUUUUAUAUAUUUAUUUUUUUUGAGAUGGAGUCUCACUCUGUUGCCCAGGCUGGAGUGCAGUGGCAUGGUCUUGGCUCACUGCAGCCUCUGCCUCCUGGUUCAAGUGAUUCUCCUGCCUCAGCCUCCCGAGUAGCUGGGACUACAGGUGUGCACCACCACACCCAGCUAAUUUUUGUUGUUGUUGUUAUUGUUGUAUUUUUUGUAGAGACAGGGUUUUACCAUGUUGGCCAGGCUGGUCUUGAACUUCUGACCUCAGGUGAUCCGUCUGCCUUGGCCUCCCAAAGUGCUGGGAUUACAGGCAAGAGCCACUGCACCCAGCCCUGUCAACUUCUAAUGAUAUAAUGUUGGUGGUGAUGGUAAAUUAUUUGGAUUUGGGGAAAAGGUGUGGUUAAGGUGAAGCAGUUUGGAGGUGGGGUAAGGUAGGGGGAGGUGAACAGCUACCACUCAUCCAUCUCUGACCCUGUGCCAUACUGCUUAUUUAUUCAUCCACAAAUCCUGCAAGAUAAGAAUCACCCCUAUUUUGCAAGGAAGGAAAGGAAACUGAGCUUGAGUAACUUGAUCACAGUCUCUCGACUCAUAAGCAUCUUUGUUGGUAAACACCCAGGUCUGUUUAAAGCUGUGCUUGUAACAAACAUACCACAUAUGUUCUCCAAGACGGUAGGUAAUGUGGGCUGUUUUUCAGUGAAACGUCUGCCAUGCAUUUUCACCAUGAUGUUGCUUUUUAUUGAUUUCAUUUGGGAAGUUUAGGGAGAAGUAGGAGGGACACUUGGGAAAUAGAGGCAUUUGUGCCUUCAAGCAGUUCACUCGGGGCACCUGCAUGAACUUCCAGGUGUCCUAAGUUAGAUUUAUUUUUUAUUUUGAGAUGGAGUCUUGCUCUGUCAUCCAGGCUGGAGUGCAAUGGCGCAAUUUCAGCUCACUGCAGCCUCUGCCUCCUGGGUUCAAGUGAUUCUCCUGCCUCAGCCUCCUGAGUAGCUGGGAUUACAGGCACCCACCACCAUGACCGGCUAAUUUUUGGGUUUUUAGUAGAGAUGAGGUUUCACCAUGUUGGCCAGGCUGGUCUUGAAACUCCUGACCUUGUGAUCCGCCUGCCUUGGUCUCCUAAAGUGCCGAGAUUACAGGUGUAAGCCACUGUACCCGGCCCCUGAGUUAGAUUUAUACCUCAAAUGUUUUCUGGGUAAAAGAGGGUCCUAGGAAGGACAGACACUAUUAGGUUUAAUUGCUGUGAAAUUAAUUGCUAGCUGUUCAUCUGCGCUGCUGCUUUGUUUUAACAUCAAAGUUGACAAAGUCUCCACGGUGUAGUAGAGAGAGGUCUUUGUGAAGAAAGCUCCUUGCCAGCUGUGGGCAUUGACAGGAAGGCACUCUCUUCCUAAACCUUGUAACUGAUAUUGCUUUUGCGGUCUCAGGUAAGAAGGAGAAAAAGGGUAAAAGUUUACUGUAGAUUCUUUAGAAAGCCUAUGGCAUUUUUGAAGUCAUAAUAAAAGAUAGAUUCCAGUGGAUCUCCUAGAGGCUCUCUGUGUUAACUGGCAUUGUUUAAGUGUAACAUGUCUUCAGCUUUAGGCUCCUUAGCCUUUCAAGGGCCCUUCUGUCAAGCUGAUGGGCUACCAUGCCAGAAAUGAAGUCCGAUAUUAAAAUGUUUGUUCAACAGAAGGUGGAUGGAGAGCAGCAUUUUCAAGUAAUGGGCAAUAAAUCAUGGAAUUGGAGAAGUUACUCAAAUUUUGGUAAUGUGCCCAAAGACCCUGGCCAUGGCCUUAUGACUGAGACAUGCAUAUAAGUGGUGGUUCUUGGCCUUAGGGUGCUAGGAAUUGGUUGAUUGGAUGUGUGCUUUAAAUAGAUGAUAUUAUUGGUUCAAAAUAAAAUGAUGGGGUGAGAACUGUAAAUGCCUCCUAGACCAUAUUCUGGGUCUUUUUUAUGGAGUUGUAGAUAGAGCAGAUUUUGAGAUAAGUAUUCAUUUAGUUAAAGGUGUUGUCAUGAAAUUCCUUCUCAAGGAGUUGACUUGAGCUAACUUGCAUGUUAACAAAUACCACUGUUCUGGCUUUCCACCAUCCUGUAUGAAUAUGGAAGUUACAUAGAAAUAAAACAUUUAAGUUUUCUUAGCGUUUAAAGCACUAAACUGUAACAUAUCUGGUUAAUACUUUAGUAUUGUGUGCUUUCCUAUUAAUAUGACUUUUUUCCCAAGUAAAAGAUGUUUUCUCCUGUCUUCCUCUCUGAUCAGGGAAAAGAAAACAGUUUCUGUUUUUCUUUGGAGAGCUCUUCAGGGGAUCUUUUUAAGGAUUGACUCAACUUUAGGAAUUUUUCAGUUGAGCUGACAUUCAUUGCAAUGUGUUUGUGGUUUAGCAUGGUUCAAAGUAUUUAUCAUCUCAAGUCUCUUUGACCACAAGGGUAGAAAGAAAUAUUCGCACACUUGCCCCAAAGUGCAAGUGUGCACUUAAGUAGAUUGUCAACUACUUAAAAAAUGUAUUUUUAGCGGGGCGCGGUGGCUCAUGCCUGUAAUCCCAGCACUUUGGGAGGCAGAGGCGGGCAGAUCAUGAGGUCAGGAGUUCGAGACCAGCCUGGCCAAUAUGGUAAAAUCGUGUCUCUACUAAAAAUACAAAAAUUAGCCAGGCGUUGUGGCACGCGCCUGUAGUCCCAGCUACUCGGGAGGGUGAGGAAGAAAAAUCGCUUGAACCCGGGAGGUGGAGGUUACAGUGAGCCAAGAUUGUGCGACUGCACUCCAGCCUGGGUGACAGAGCGAGACGCUGUCUCAAAAAAAAGAAAAAAGAAAAAAAAAGUUUUUUUUUUUAAAGACAAAUGAAAAUUCAAAUCUUCAGACUAUUGGAAGCAGGGAAUUGUUAUCAGAAGUGAGGAAGCAGAGCUGACCAUUAAAGUUUUUUACUACUAUCUUGAAAUUGUAUGGUAAGAAAAAAAAAAUGGGUAGCAACCUUUUGCCAGGUGUGACAAUUUCUACCUGAUCUGUUAAAUUUAGUACAGUAGUCCACCCUUAUCUGCGGUUUUGCUUUCUGUGGUUUCAGUUAUCUGCAGUUGCCUGCAUUCUGAAAAUAGGUGAAUAUAGUAUGAUAGUAUAUUUUGAGAGAGAGAGACCAAAACUAUAUUCACAUAACUUUUAUUACUGUUUGCUGCUAUACCUGUUCUAUCUUAGUGGUUAUUGUUAGUCUCUUACUGUGCCUAAUUUAUAAAUUAAACUUUAUCAUGGAUAUAGUUGUAUAGAAAAACCACAGUGUAUAUAGAGCUCAGCUCCAUCCAUGGUUUCAGGCAUCCACUAGGGGUCUCAGAAUGUAUCCCCCUCAGAUAAGGAGUGGGUCUGCUUUAUAUUAUUUUCCAAAAAUUGCGUUUGUUAUAUAAAAAUCCAUGUUGCCAAAGUUUUUAAGCUCUGUGUUUUCAAAAGUAGUUUAAAUACUAUAAAAGUGCUUAUUCUACUCAGUCAUUGGGGAGAGUAUUUCUGGAUCAGUAGAGAAAAGGGAAAUUGCAAGUACAUGAAAAGCUUCCCCUUAUUUUUUUUGUGAUGUAGGCACUGGAGGUACAGAUAUAAACAAGAUGUGGAACCUCCCUUCAAGGAAUUCAUAAUCCAGUGACAAAGAGGGAAAUGUAAAUAAUCAAUUGCUGUAAAAUGAUAUAGAUGCUCUGAUUGUAGCCUGGAUUGGAGGCAGUGGGAGCCACAUAUAGGGAGUGAUCAAUUCUGCAAAGGUAAGAUUUCGGUCAAAAAUCUAUAGUCAGCUGGGUGCCGUGGCUCACACCUAUAAUCCUAACACUUUGGGAGGCUGAGGUGGGCAGAUUGCUUGAACCCAGGAGUUCAAGACCAGCCUUGGCAACAUGGCUAAACCUCAUCUGUACAAAAAAUACCAAAAAAAUUAGCUGGGUAUGGUGGCGUGUGUCUGUAGUCCUAGCUACUUUGCAGGCUGAGGCAGGAGGAUCACCUGAGCCUGGGGAGGUCAAGGCUGCAGUGAGCCGUGAUUGUGCCAUUGCACUCCAGUCUGGGUGACAGAGUGAGACCCUGUUACACACGCACAUACACACACACACACACACAAAUCUAUAGUCUAGAGGAAGUUAUAAGGCACAUAGGUGUAAUGCUUAUAAUUGAUAGGAAGUGAUGAGUAUGAAAGCAGGUUGACAGAUAAAGUGCUCUUUGUUUCUAGAGAAAGAAAUCACUUCUGUUCUAGGAUAUUAGGGAAGGCCUCAGUGAGGAGGAUGAUAAUUUUGCUAUAUGUUCAGCAGCCAUUUUCAGAUGAGAUCAGGCACGUUCAGGGUGGCAUGGCCAUAGACACAGCAGCCAUUGUCAGUUUGCAAAGAGCUUUCAAGUACAUCAUCUGCUAGUUAUUUGGAAACCCUGGGAGGAAGUUGUGAUAAUUUAGAUAAUGACCCAGAGAGGUAGGGCAACAUACCAAGGGCCACCCAGCAAGUGAUGAUGUAAGCAUGUGUUUAAGUUGAGCAUUUCUGACCAAUUAUUUCACAAAGAACUAGAGUCAUUACAUCACUUUCCUUCAUCCCCUUCAUCCCCCUCCCCUCCCUGCCCAUGGCAUCACAUUACAUGUAGGAUAAAGCUUUCACUCUGGACCAUGUUCUGCAAGAUUCCACAUGAUCCAGCUUCUGUCUUUCUUCCAGGACUAGCCUUCUUGCUUACCUUGCAUGCCGGCUGUUUCCAGAAUUUAUGAAACUUUUUUCCACCCCAGGGUUCUUACACAUGCUGUUCAGUUACACAGAAAGAGUCAUCCCCACCAUCCUUCUUCUUGAUUUGGCGCAUUGUUAGAAUGUCACCUCCUUAGGGAGACUUCCCUGAUCUUUGUAUCUAAAGCACAUCCCAUCCUCCCAUGAGCCUGCAUCUCUCUUCUCUGUUUUAUGUUUGUUAUGGCACUUAGCACUAUCAGAAGUUGUCCUUAUUGUUCAUUUGUAUGUUGUCUUGUAUUCCCAACUGGAGUGUGAGUUUCAUGAUGGGAGUGGCAGGGAUUCUUUGUUCACUACUGUUUCCCCCAGCACUUGAGAUAUAGGAAGCACUUGGUAAGCAUUUGUUAAUCAAAUAAAGGAACCUGUAGUAGCUUAGGGUACAAUUACAAGUGGUUUUCCAAGAGCCAGAAAUGAAAGUCAUUGGGAUGAGUUAUAGAUGCAGCUUAUGGAUUGGAAAUUUGGAAUGUAUUUGGGACAAAAUGAUGUGAAACAUUUUAAUUUAAUUUUUGGAUUGUUCAUUGCUAAUGUAUAAAAAUACGAUUGAUUUUUUGUAUAUUUAUCUUGUAUCCUUCAACCUUGAUGAACUCGUUUAUGAUCUCUGAUAGUAUUUUUUGUGGAUUCCUUAAGAUUUUCUGUAUACAAGAUUAUGUCAUUUGCAAAUAGAAAUAGUUUUACUUAUUCUUUUCCAAUCUGGAUGCCUUUUAUUUCUUUUUCUUGCCUAAUUGCUCUGGCUAGAACCUCAGUGUAGAAGUGAGGUGGCCUCCAAAAUAGAAGUGGUGAGAUCAGACAUCUUUAUCUUGUACCUUAUCUUAGGAGGAAAAAUAUAUAGUCUUUUACUAUUGAGUAUGAUGUUAGCUGUGAGUUUCUAAUAGAUACCCUUUUUCAGGUUGAGGAAGUUCUCUGUUAUUCCUAGUUUGUCGAGUGGUUUUUUUUUUUUGGUGUUGCUGUUUUGUUCUUUUUAUGAAAGGGUCUCAGUCUGUCACCCAGGCUGGAGUGCAGUGGUGUGAUCUCAGCUCACUGCAACCUCCACCUCCUGGGUUGAAGCGAUUCUCAUGCCUCAGUCUCCCAAGUAGCUGGGAUUACAGCAGUGUGCCACCAUGUCUGGCUAAUUUUUUUUAUUUUUAGUAGAGAUGGGGUUUCGCCAUAUUGGCCAGGCUGUUCUUGAACGCCUGGCCUCAAGAGAUCUGUGUGCCAUAUGAUCUAUAUACAUUAAUUUCUUACUGAAGCAAAAAUACCCAAAGUGCCAGGAUUACAGGUGUGAGCCACCAAACUGCCUGUUUUUUGAGACAGAGUCUCCUACUGUCAUCUGGGCUGGAGUGCAGUGGUGCGAUCUCGGCUCACUGCAGCCUCCGCCUCCCAGGUUCAAGCGAUUCUUCUUGCCUCAGCCUCCCAAGUAGCUGGGAUACAGGUGCCUACCACCACGCCCGGCUAAUUUUUUUGUAUUUUUAGUAGAGACGGGGUUUCAGUAUGUUGGCCAGGCUGGUCUCGAACUCCUGACCUCACGAUCUGCCACUUUGACCUCCGAAAGUGUUGGGAUUACAGGCGCGUGAGCCACCGUGCCCGGCUGUGUGUGUGUGUUUUUUUUUUAAACCAUGAAGUUGUGUUGGAUUUUAUCAAAUGCUUUUUCUGUGGAAACCUAAACUUUUAGGCUACAGUUCUUUUUAAAGCAGGUAGCAGGACAGAACUUCUUGACCACCACUCAGCAGAGGUUUGAAAGUUUCCCCUCUUCUCCUGUGAGGUCACUAAGCAUUUGUUACAGAGUUAACCGAGAAGAAUGCCUGUGCUUAUCCUCUGGGAACAACUGUAAUGAUGGGAUGUUUCUCUAUAAGUCUGAGAAAUAAACUGCUGGAAUGUGAUGCCA